rnacentral:rRNA from 1 species
AGUGAACGCUGGCGGUAGGCCUAACACAUGCAAGUCGAACGGCAGCACAGUAAGAGCUUGCUCUUACGGGUGGCGAGUGGCGGACGGGUGAGGAAUACAUCGGAAUCUACUUUUUCGUGGGGGAUAACGUAGGGAAACUUACGCUAAUACCGCAUACGACCUACGGGUGAAAGCAGGGGAUCUUCGGACCUUGCGCGAUUGAAUGAGCCGAUGUCGGAUUAGCUAGUUGGCGGGGUAAAGGCCCACCAAGGCGACGAUCCGUAGCUGGUCUGAGAGGAUGAACCGCCACACUGGAACUGAGACACGGUCCCGACUCCUACGGGAGGCAGCAGUGGGGAAUAUUGGACAAUGGGCGCAAGCCUGAUCCAGCCAUACCGCGUGGGUGAAGAAGGCCUUCGGGUUGUAAAGCCCUUUUGUUGGGAAAGAAAAGCAGCAGGUUAAUACCCCGCUGUUCUGACGGUACCCAAAGAAUAAGCACCGGCUAACUUCGUG